GACGAACGCUGGCGGCGUGCCUAAUACAUGCAAGUAGAACGCUGAAGGAGGAGCUUGCUUCUCUGGAUGAGUUGCGAACGGGCGAGUAACGCGUAGGUAACCUGCCUGGUAGCGGGGGAUAACUAUUGGAAACGAUAGCUAAUACCGCAUAAGAGUUGAUGUUGCAUGACAUUUGCUUAAAAGGUGCAAUUGCAUCACUACCAGAUGGACCUGCGUUGUAUUAGCUAGUUGGUGGGGUAACGGCUCACCAAGGCGACGAUACAUAGCCGACCUGAGAGGGUGAUCGGCCACACUGGGACUGAGACACGGCCCAGACUCCUACGGGAGGCAGCAGUAGGGAAUCUUCGGCAAUGGACGGAAGUCUGACCGAGCAACGCCGCGUGAGUGAAGAAGGUUUUCGGAUCGUAAAGCUCUGUUGUAAGAGAAGAACGAGUGUGAGAGUGGAAAGUUCACACUGUGACGGUAUCUUACCAGAAAGGGACGGCUAACUACGUG
rnacentral:rRNA from 1 species